UACGUAGGGUGCGAGCGUUAAUCGGAAUUACUGGGCGUAAAGCGUGCGCAGGCGGUUGGUUAAGUCUGAUGUGAAAGCCCCGGGCUCAACCUGGGAAUGGCAUUGGAAACUGGCGAGCUAGAGUGUGGCAGAGGGGGGUGGAAUUCCGCGUGUAGCAGUGAAAUGCGUAGAGAUGCGGAGGAACACCGAUGGCGAAGGCAGCCCCCUGGGCUGACACUGACGCUCAGGCACGAAAGCGUGGGGAGCAAACAGG
rnacentral:rRNA from 1 species